rnacentral:rRNA from 1 species
UACGUAGGUGGCAAGCGUUGUCCGGAAUUAUUGGGCGUAAAGCGCGCGCAGGUGGUUUCUUAAGUCUGAUGUGAAAGCCCCCGGCUCAACCGGGGAGGGUCAUUGGAAACUGGGAGACUUGAGUGCAGAAGAGGAAAGUGGAAUUCCAAGUGUAGCGGUGAAAUGCGUAGAGAUUUGGAGGAACACCAGUGGCGAAGGCGACUUUCUGGUCUGUAACUGACACUGAGGCGCGAAAGCGUGGGGAGCAAACAGG